rnacentral:rRNA from 1 species
AAAUAGAUACCCCGGUAGUCCACGCCCGUAAACGAUGAGUGCUAGGUGUUAGGGGGUUUCCGCCCCUUAGUGCUGCAGCUAACGCAUUAAGCACUCCGCCUGGGGAGUACGGUCGCAAGACUGAAACUCAAAGGAAUUGACGGGGGCCCGCACAAGCGGUGGAGCAUGUGGUUUAAUUCGAAGCAACGCGAAGAACCUUACCAGGUCUCGACAUCCCGCUGACCGCCAUGGAGACAUGGCCUUCCCUUCGGGGACAGCGGUGACAGGUGGUGCAUGGUUGUCGUCAGCUCGCGUCGUGAGAUGUUGGGUUAAGUCCCGCAACGAGCGCAACCCUUGUCCUUAGUUGCCAUCAUUCAGUUGGGCACUCUAAGGAGACUGCCGUACAAAUACGGAGGAAGGUGGGGAUGACGUCAAAUCAUCAUGCCCCUUAUGACCUGGGCUACACACGUGCUACAAUGGGUGGUACAAAGGGCGGCAAACCCGGCGAGGGGGGAGCGGAAUCCCAAAAAGGCCACUCUCAGUUCGGAUUGCAGG